rnacentral:rRNA from 1 species
UACGUAGGGUCCAAGCGUUGUUCGGAAUCAUUGGGCGUAAAGGGCGUGUAGGCGGUUUGUUAAGUCAUGUGUGAAAUCCCUCGGCUCAACCGGGGAACGACGCAUGAAACUGGCAAGCUAGAGUACCAAAGAGGGGGGUGGAAUUCCCGGUGUAGAGGUGAAAUUCGUAGAUAUCGGGAGGAACACCAGUGGCGAAGGCGGAGACCUGGGCCGAUACUGACGCUGAGGUGCGAAAGCGUGGGGAGCAAACAGG